rnacentral:misc_RNA from 1 species
UCCGGCUUAUCACCGGCAGUCCCCUUAGAGUGCCCAACUAAAUGAUGGCAACUAGGGGCGAGGGUUGCGCUCGUUGCGGGACUUAACCCAACAUCUCACGACACGAGCUGACGACAGCCAUGCAGCACCUGUCUUGGGACUCCGAAGAGGGGCCGUGGUUUCUCACGGCUUUCCCCAAGAUGUCAAGCCCAGGUAGGGUUCUUCGCGUUGCGUCGAAUUAAACCACAUGCUCCACCGCUUGUGCGGGCCCCCGUCAAUUCCUUUGAGUUUCAGUCUUGCGACCGUACUCCCCAGGCGGCCAACUUAACGCGUUAGCUUCGACACUGAGCUCCGAAGUGAGCCCAACGUCCAGUUGGCAUCGUUUAGGGCGUGGACUAA